rnacentral:rRNA from 1 species
CCUUCGGGCCUCUUGCCAUCGGAUGUGCCCAGAUGGGAUUAGCUAGUAGGUGGGGUAACGGCUCACCUAGGCGACGAUCCCUAGCUGGUCUGAGAGGAUGACCAGCCACACUGGAACUGAGACACGGUCCAGACUCCUACGGGAGGCAGCAGUGGGGAAUAUUGCACAAUGGGCGCAAGCCUGAUGCAGCCAUGCCGCGUGUAUGAAGAAGGCCUUCGGGUUGUAAAGUACUUUCAGCGGGGAGGAAGGGAGUAAAGUUAAUACCUUUGCUCAUUGACGUUACCCGCAGAAGAAGCACCGGCUAACUCCGUGCCAGCAGCCGCGGUAAUACGGAGGGUGCAAGCGUUAAUCGGAAUUACUGGGCGUAAAGCGCACGCAGGCGGUUUGUUAAGUCAGAUGUGAAAUCCCCGGGCUCAACCUGGGAACUGCAUCUGAUACUGGCAAGCUUGAGUCUCGUAGAGGGGGGUAGAAUUCCAGGUGUAGCGGUGAAAUGCGUAGAGAUCUGGAGGAAUACCGGUGGCGAAGGCGGCCCCCUGGACGAAGACUGACGCUCAGGUGCGAAAGCGUGGGGAGCAAACAGGAUU